rnacentral:lncRNA from 1 species
AUUUUAUUUAAGGCAAAAAUAAAAAGAUCAAUUUAGAGACUGGGGGGAACCCUGGGAAUGGUUUCAUCCCGGAUUCCCAGCCCAAUUCCGGGAUUCUGGGAUUCUUUUCCAGGAAUUCCCGGGAAUUUCGGCCCCUGGAUAGCGGCGGCCGCGGCCGUGGGGCUGCUCCUGCUCCUGGCGGGCGGCGUCUGCUGCUGGAAGCGGAGCAAGAAUUCCCGGGAAGAGCCCCCCGGAGCCCCCCCAGAGCAGCCCCUGACCAUCUACGCCGAGGUGGGAGAGAGGAAACCCCGCCAGGACCCCGUGAGUGCCGGGAACGUCCCUUCCCACCCCAAAACCUGGGAAUUCCAGCCUUGGGAAAAACCCCGGGGAGCUGGGAAUGACCCCUGGUCGCUCCUCAUCCGGCCGUCCCUCGGACACCCCAAACCUCGGGCGCUUCCAGGAGGAAAUUCCUUCCUUGGGAAUAUCGGGAUUUGAUCCUUUCUGAGCAUUCCCAGAUUUCUUUUGUCCCUCUUUUUGUGUAUUCCCAGAUCGGGAGCAGCGAGGCUGCCCGGGAAGGAGCCACCGUCUACGCCGUGGUCACUCCCAGGACACUGGUGCGGCCAUUCCCAAAAAACCCGGACGGAUCCCGGGGUUUUUUAUCCCUUUCCCAUCCCAAAAUUCCCGCUUUUCUCAUCGGUUCAUCCCGGUUUUUUUCCUUUUUCCCUGGCAGGAGCAUCCCAGGCACCAGGAAGAAUCCGGGAAUUUCACCGUUUACUCCACGGUCCAGUUUGGACGGAGGGUGAGGAUCACCCGGAGUGACCCCGACUUUCAGGGAUGCCAAAUUCCCAAAGUUUUGGGAAUCCCAAAUCCCCAGUUUUUAGGAAUCCCAAA